rnacentral:sRNA from 1 species
CCUAUAUCGAGAUUGUUGAGAACGGAAAUGGAAUAACUUUAUUUCCCAUACACUAAGUUCCAAUUAGUAAGAGGAAUUUUAACAUAAUUUAACCCAUGCAAUUGACCGAAUAAUAUAAAAUUUGUGCUAGAGUGAGGUCCGAUUUCCAGAGCCGCCAUCAAUAACCCGACUUGACUCGGAACCGAAUCGAAUCGAAUCGAAUGUCCAGAACAGGAGGCUGGCUGCCUAGUAUUCUAUUGGCACUCGAUAAGUGAGGCUAAAACAAUUGAUUAUUGUGUGUCAUAAGCACACACUUUGCACUCGAGCUGAGGGAAACUCGAACGGAAACGUGAAGAAAACUGGCAGCGGUGCUGGUACUGGUGCCGUAACCCAAGGAAAACUCGACUGUCAGUUGCACAUACGCCGAAAGCAAAUUUAAAUGUUAAUCAAAUGCCGCCACUGAGGAAUAUAUAAGUACAAUAUGGGCGGAAGGCCCAAAAAGAUGAAACCGAAAAUAAGAGAAUCGAAGGCAAAUUUCGCAUGCAUGCACACGAAAAUGAGUUUGAUGUGGGGAAGCUCGAGGAUGAGCGGUUCACAAAUGUAAUUGACAGUUCAAGUGACAAGCGGGACGGCGGGGAAAGUAAAGGAUUCCUUUCGUCCCCAAUGAAAGGAAAGCCACAAUAAAAAUUCACGGCAACACACAUCCUCUGUCCACUUUUCAAAAAUGCAAAAUGCGCGCCACAAACAAUUUUUAAUUAAAAAAUCGAGUGGAAAAAGUGCAAAAUUUUUAUGCUUUCCAUUUUGUUCCGGUUGUUGCGAUGCAUUAAAAUUAAUGUCAUUUUUCAGUAACUCUUUUUGCGCCACCCAUCUCACUUCAGUUUUCCCAGUGCCCCCAUAUGUUUCAGCUCGGCUGAACCAGUGGAAAAUUUUCAAAGUUUUCCUUUUUUCCAUCCGUUCUUUGUGCUUCGCCAUUUUUGCGGUUGAAUCGUUGUCCAGGCAACAGUAUCAUCAUAAAGGCUAAGCGAAUAAUUGAGAUCCGAGUGUCAAAAAAAAA